rnacentral:rRNA from 1 species
ACGCUCGACACCUACGGGAGGCAGCAGUGAGGAAUAUUGGUCAAUGGGCGCUAGCCUGAACCAGCCAAGUAGCGUGAAGGAUGAAGGCUCUAUGGGUCGUAAACUUCUUUUAUAUAAGAAUAAAGUGCAGUAUGUAUACUGUUUUGUAUGUAUUAUAUGAAUAAGGAUCGGCUAACUCCGUACCAGCAGCCGCGUAAUCUGAGCGGCUGGCAAGGC